UACGUAGGGUCCGAGCGUUGUCCGGAAUUAUUGGGCGUAAAGAGCUCGUAGGUGGUUCGGUAAGUCAGGUGUGAAACCUCCAGGCUCAACCUGGAGACGCCACUUGAUACUGCUGUGACUGGAGUCCGGUAGGGGAGCGUGGAAUUCCUGGUGUAGCGGUGAAAUGCGCAGAUAUCAGGAGGAACACCAGCGGCGAAGGCGGCGCUCUGGGCCGGUACUGACACUGAGGAGCGAAAGCGUGGGGAGCAAACAGG
rnacentral:rRNA from 1 species